UAGGGAAUCUUCCACAAUGGNGAAGCCUGAUGGAGCAACGCCGCGUGUGUGAUGAAGGGUUUCGGCUCGUAAAACACUGUUGUAAGAGAAGAAUGACAUUGAGAGUAACUGUUCAAUGUGUGACGGUAUCUUACCAGAAAGGAAUGGCUAAAUACGUGCCAG
rnacentral:rRNA from 1 species